UACAGAGGGUGCAAGCGUUGUUCGGAAUUAUUGGGCGUAAAGCGCGCGCAGGCGGCCUUUUAAGUCUGAUGUGAAAGCCCACGGCUCAACCGUGGAAGGUCAUUGGAAACUGAAAGGCUUGAGUACAGAAGAGGAAAGCGGAAUUCCACGUGUAGCGGUGAAAUACGUAGAGAUGUGGAGGAACACCAGUGGCGAAGGCGGCUUUCUGGUCUGUAACUGACGCUGAGGCGCGAAAGCGUGGGGAGCAAACAGG
rnacentral:rRNA from 1 species